GUGCUAAUUUUUUAAAAUCUUGUAAAUACUAGUACAAGCGCCAAUACCACAGCAGCAUGCUGGCAUCCCUUACCUCAGCAGGCAUCAGACUGGACAGUUACAAAGAUAUGAACGAAAUGUCCAAAUCAAAUUCUCUUCCUCUCUCUUUUUUCCCCUCAGUGAGAUUAAAAUUCGCAGAAAAAGGGCAUUUAAAAUGCAGUAGAGUGAAACUCUCAAUGCCCUUAAAAUGUUUGUCAGCAUUUGCAUGCUGGAAAAUAAAAACUUCUCAUUAACAUACACAGCAGCAAGUGAAUUUUGCAGUUGUUGCCUUGAACUGGUAAACUGGACCUUCCAUUUUCAUAAUUGCAUGUAGACAUGAUGAAGGCUUGUUUGCUUUUGUUCUUAAAAGUCUGUAUGACCCCACAGUGUGAUGCCGUGCACAAUCCACAAGGGCCAAAAUGCUGGGGCAACUCUAAACGAUCACUAAUUCUUCCAAACCCUAAUGGUGCCAUCAACCGAGGCUGUUAUCAUGCAAUUGUCCUUUGGGUGGUAACUCACACUUGUUACCACUGAGGCAUGAGCACGAAAACUUGACACCGCAGUUGCAUCCACAAGAUCCCAAAAGUAAAUGUAGCCAUCCUCAGAUCCACCAGUCACAUGAGCAUCAGUGUUGGUGAGGCAGCAAUCCAAUUUAUAUGACUUACAAGUGUGUCCUUUAUAUUCUUGCAAGAGUUCACCUGUUGAUCUGUCCAUAAGGCGCAAGGUAGAAUCUAGGCAACUUGCUAAGAUACAGUUGCCAUCAUUUGACAUGGAAAUACAGUUGACAGGUUGCCCCAAGUCAUCGACUAUUUCUCUACCCAUACGGAUAUCAAAUGUUCUAACAGUACCAUCAACACUUCCCGCAAUCAUUUCAGUUUUAGUCAGGCAAACAGACAUUACACUGUCCGAAAAAGUAUCAAUGAUCUGAAUUGGCUCAGUACUGUGGGAUCUACAAUCCCAAGCACGCAAAGACUGGUCAUAACCAGCUGAUACU
rnacentral:misc_RNA from 1 species